UUUUGGUUUCAAGUUUUUCUC
rnacentral:piRNA from 1 species